UUCCGGUUGAUCCUGCCGGACCCGACUGCUAUUUGGGUGAGAAUAAGCCAUGCGAGUUGAAUGGGAUACCUAAAGUUCCCAUAGCAAACUGCUCAGUAACACAUGAUCAACUUACCCUAUAGAGAAAAAUAACCUCGGGAAACUGAGGAUAAUGUUUCAUAAUUGAAUUGGCUUGGAAAAGUUUUUCAAUGAAAAGGAUAAAAAAAAUGGUUUUUAUCUGCUAUAGGAUAGGAUCGUGUUCGAUUAUGGUAGUUGGUGAGAUAAUGGCUCACCAAGCCGAUAAUCGAUAGGGGCCGUGAGAGCGGGAGCCCCGAGAUGGGUACUGAGACAACGACCCAGGCCUUACGAGGCGCAGCAGGCGCGGAACCUCCGCAAUACACGAAAGUGUGACGGGGUUACCCAAAGUGUUCAAUAGAACUGUGGUAGGUGAGUAAUGUCCCCUACUAGAAAGGAGAGGGCAAGGCUGGUGCCAGCCGCCGCGGUAAAACCAGCUCUUCAAGUGGUCGGGAUAAUUAUUGGGCUUAAAGUGUCCGUAGCCGGUUUAGUAAGUUCCUGGUAAAAUCGGGUAGCUUAACUAUCUGCAUGCUAGGAAUACUGCUAUACUAGAGGGCGGGAGAGGUCUGAGGUACUACAGGGGUAGGGGUGAAAUCUUAUAAUCCUUGUAGGACCACCAGUGGCGAAGGCGUCAGACUGGAACGCGCCUGACGGUGAGGGACGAAAGCCAGGGGAGCGAACCGGAUUAGAUACCCGGGUAGUCCUGGCCGUAAACGAUGCAUACUAGGUGAUGGUACGGCCAUGAGCCGUAUCAGUGCCGUAGGGAAACCCGUUAAGUGUGCCGCCUGGGAGUACGGUCGCAAGGCUAAAACUUAAAGGAUUGCGGGGGAGCACACAGGGGUGAGCUGCGUCAUGACUCACGCGU
rnacentral:rRNA from 1 species